GCGCCCUUAGCUCAGUUGGAUAGAGCAACGGCCUUCUAAGCCGUGGGUCGCAGGUUCGAAGUCCUCGCAGGGCGCGCCA
rnacentral:tRNA from 1 species